rnacentral:lncRNA from 1 species
GCCCAAGAAAAGAGAGAACCUUGCUGAAGGAUCCAUCCUGGAGGGGGAAGGGCGGGCUCUGAUGGGGGAGGAGGGAGGAAGGCAAAGAGUGAAGAAGAUGAAGGAGACCUGGAAGUGACUAUUAUUUCAAGAGAUGGCCCUGAUAAGCUUAUUGUAGAGCAUGGAGCUUGGUCAGUGACCUUUAACUGGACUCGGGUUACAUUAGCUGUCACUACUCAGUCAUCACAAAGAUAGUCCUGUCCUUUUGAAAGACACGUACAAGG